rnacentral:lncRNA from 1 species
CUCAAGCUGGUGCAAAUAAAUCAUAUGUACCGAGCUUGUUACAUAUGUAGUUAACAUCGAACCCGGGUUUCUAGACCCGAAAGCAUCGUGUCCCAAAGACAUAGUUGAAAACUUGCUGAAACAGAUGAAGGAAAUACUGUUUUUGCCAGAAAAUUAUUGUAGAUCCCGGAAUAAAUCACUGUAGAUGCCGGAAAACUUCAAAGUGGUCGGAAUUGAAAAG